rnacentral:rRNA from 1 species
ACGGAGGGUGCGAACGUUAAUCGGAAUUACUGGGCGUAAAGCGCGCGUAGGCGGUUUGUUAUGUGAGAUGUGAAAUCCCCGGGCUCAACCUGGGAACUGCGUUUCAAACUGACAAACUAGAGUUCAGUAGAGGGAGGUGGAAUUUCCUGUGUAGCGGUGGAAUGCGUAGAUAUAGGAAGGAACACCAGUGGCGAAGGCGGCCUCCUGGACUGAAACUGACGCUCAGUGUGCGAAAGCGUGGGGAGCAAACAGG